GAUGAAGAACGUAGCGAAAUGCGAUACUUGGUGUGAAUUGCAGAAUCCCGUGAACCAUCGAGUCUUUGAACGCAAGUUGCGCCCGAAGCCAUUAGGCCGAGGGCACGCCUGCCUGGGCGUCACACGUCGUUGCCCCCCCAUCUACUCCUUCGGGAUUGCGGGGGGCGGAUGAUGGCCUCCCGUGCGCCUCGUCGCGCGGUUGGCAUAAAUGCCAAGUCCUCGGCGACGCACGCCACGACAAUCGGUGGUUGCGAAACCUCGGUUGCCCGUCGUGUGCGGUCGUCGCGCAUCGAGGGCUCGAAAAAAUUGCCGGGCUCCGGCUCGGCUUUCAACGCGACCCCAGGUCAGGCGGGGUUACCCGCUGAAUUUAAGCAUAUCAAUGAGCGGAGGA
rnacentral:misc_RNA from 1 species